AAGCUUGUAGAACUUCCCAGUUUCAUGUGCCUCCUGAUACUUGUAGGUAACAUUACAGCUUGAAAACACCUCGCCAUCUAGAAUUAUUGUGGAGGAACCCCAGCAGGCAUCGUGUCCCACCUAGGGGUGGUAAUGGAUCGUGGCCCUCAUGCCUCCUACACAAUCCAACUUAGUCCUAUUUAAUUUUUAGUUCAAAAUCAUAUAAAUUUAUGGCCCGGUCCUUAUUGAGCCCGAUCCUUAAAUUUGCUUACCACCCCUGGUCCCACCCUUGAGUUGUCGCUUCUCAGUGUUUGUAAAAUGAAACACAGGAAGUACAUUCCAUUUCACCAUGAAACGAGGAGGUAUUAUCUGUAACUUUGUACAACGUGAAAAAUUUUCAUUCGUGUUCUCUUAGGCA
rnacentral:lncRNA from 1 species